CCAAUAGCGUAUAUUAAAGUUGUUGCAGUUAAAAAGCUCGUAGUUGAAUUUCGGAAACAGUACGCCGGUCGUGCCUCCGGUAUGCACUGGUGUCACUGGUUCCUCCCUUCUGAAGAACCAUCAUGCCCUUAAUUUGGUGUUGUGGGGAAUCAGGACUGUUACUUUGAAAAAAUUAGAGUGUUUAAAGCAGGCUCACGCUUGAAUACAUUAGCAUGGAAUAAUGAAAUAGGACGUUGAUCUUAUUUUGUUGGUUUCUAGGAUUGACGUAAUGAUUAAUAGGGAUAGUUGGGGGCAUUAGUAUUCAAUUGUCAGAGGUGAAAUUCUUGGAUUUAUUGAAGACUAACUACUGCGAAAGCAUUUGCCAAGGAUGUUUUCAUUAAUCAAGAACGAAAGUUAGGGGAUCGAAGACGAUCAGAUACCGUCGUAGUCUUAACCAUAAACUAUGCCGAUUAGGGAUCGGAUGAUGUUAAUUUUUUAAUGACUCAUUCGGCGCCUUACG
rnacentral:rRNA from 1 species